GAAUGGUCUGCUUGGAACCUGAGCAGCACUGACUUCUGCAGAAGACUGAGAUGGAGACGCCCCCCAGUGUCCUGUUGCUCCUGCAGUCUGAACUUCCCAACAGCCCAUCUUUGGUUUAAAAAGUCUUUGUAAAGUUAACAUCCUUCCUACCGGAAUGUCCUGCACCUCCCUGUCUUUGGGACUCGGGUUUACUUGCAGAGAUCUUCUGCGGAAGACAACCUUCUUUUUGAUCUUUAGGCACAAAGGCAGGAGGCCCAUGGCCUUCCUCCUGCUCACUUGACUUGAGGAGAGCUGUCCCCCUUCGAGCUUUAGGGAGAUGACCCAGACAGUGAAGAACUACUUGCCAUACAAACACGAGGAUCUGAGUUCAAACUGAAGCACCAUGAAGAUGAAGAAAAAAGCUCUGUCUCGUGGCCUGCAACCCCAGUGACAGGGAAGCAGACGGAAGAAGCCCAGCCAGUCUAGCAAAAUAACAAGCUCAAGGUUCAAGCCUACAAACAGAAGUGAAGCAGUGGCGGGGGCAGCAUCAAUAAAGGUAGCAGAGGAAAGAAAGAAAAAAGAAUCAUCGGCUACUAGAAGUGUCACAUUAAAUGUCACAGGGACUGUGUUAAAUUG
rnacentral:lncRNA from 1 species